rnacentral:sRNA from 1 species
GCCAGGCGUGGUGGUGCAUGCCUGUAAUUCCAGUAGCCUAGAAGGCUGAGGCAGGAGAAUCUCAAGUUCAAAGCCAGCCUUAGCAAUGGAAAGGCACUAAGCAACUCAGUGAGACCCUGUUUCUA